AGAGUUUGAUCAUGGCUCAGAACGUACGCUGGCGGCACGCCUAACACAUGCAAGUCGAACGAAGUAGCAAUACUUAGUGGCAGACGGGUGAGUAACAUGUAGGUAUCUUCCCUUUGGCCUGGAAUAACACGAGGAAACUUGUGCUAAUACCGGAUAAGUCUUUACGGAGAAAGCUUUAUGCACCAUUGGAUGAGCCUGCACUUGAUUAGUUUGUUGGUGGGGUAAAAGCCUACCAAGACUGUGAUCAAUAGCUGAUUUGAGAGGAUGAUCAGCCACAUUGGGACUGAGACACGGCCCAAACUCCUACGGGAGGCAGCAGUGGGGAAUCUUGCACAAUGGAGGAAACUCUGAUGCAGCGAUGCCGCGUGAGUGAAGAAGGCCCUUGGGUUGUAAAGCUCUUUCGUCGGGGAAGAAAAUGACUGUACCCGAAUAAGAAGGUCCGGCUAACUUCGUGCCAGCAGCCGCGGUAAUACGAAGGGACCUAGCGUAGUUCGGAAUUACUGGGCUUAAAGAGUUCGUAGGUGGUUGAAAAAGUUGGUGGUGAAAUCCCAGAGCUUAACUCUGGAACUGCCAUCAAAACUUUUCAGCUAGAGUUUGAUAGAGGAAAGCAGAAUUUCUAGUGUAGAGGUGAAAUUCGUAGAUAUUAGAAAGAAUACCAAUUGCGAAGGCAGCUUUCUGGAUCAUUACUGACACUGAGGAACGAAAGCAUGGGUAGCGAAGAGGAUUAGAUACCCUCGUAGUCCAUGCCGUAAACGAUGUGUGUUAGACGUUGGAAAUUUAUUUUCUGUGUCGCAGCGAAAGCGAUAAACACACCGCCUGGGGAGUACGACCGCAAGGUUAAAACUCAAAUGAAUUGACGGGGACCCGCACAAGUAGUGGAGCAUGUGGUUUAAUUCGAAGAUACGCGCAGAACCUUACCAACACUUGACAUGUUCGUCGCGACUUUAAGAGAUUAAAGUUUUCGGUUCGGCCGGACGAAACACAGGUGCUGCAUGGCUGUCGUCAGCUCGUGUCGUGAGAUGUUGGGUUAAGUCCCGCAACGAGCGCAACCCUCACUUUUAGUUGCCAUCAUUUAGUUGGGCACUCUGAAAGAACUGCCAGUGAUAAGCUGGAGGAAGGUGGGGAUGACGUCAAGUCCUCAUGGUCCUUACGUGUUGGGCUACACACGUGCUACAAUGAUAUCUACAACAGGAAGCAAAACGGCGACGUUAAGCAAAUCCUCAAAAGAUAUCUCAGUUCGGAUUGCACUCUGCAACUCGAGUGCAUGAAGCUGGAAUUACUAGUAAUCGUGGAUCAGCGUGCCACGGUGAAUGCGUUCCC
rnacentral:rRNA from 1 species